rnacentral:rRNA from 1 species
UGAGUAAUGUCUGGGAAACUGCCUGAUGGAGGGGGAUAACUACUGGAAACGGUAGCUAAUACCGCAUACCGUCGCAAGACCAAAGUGGGGGACCUUCGGGCCUCAUGCCAUCAGAUGUGCCCAGAUGGGAUUAGCUAGUAGGUGAGGUAAUGGCUCACCUAGGCGACGAUCCCUAGCUGGUCUGAGAGGAUGACCAGCCACACUGGAACUGAGACACGGUCCAGACUCCUACGGGAGGCAGCAGUGGGGAAUAUUGCACAAUGGGCGCAAGCCUGAUGCAGCCAUGCCGCGUGUAUGAAGAAGGCCUUCGGGUUGUAAAGUACUUUCAGCGAGGAGGAAGGCAUUAAGGUUAAUAACCUUGGUGAUUGACGCUACUCGCAGAAGAAGCACCGGCUAACUCCGUGCCAGCAGCCGCGGUAAUACGGAGGGUGCAAGCGUUAAUCGGAAUUACUGGGCGUAAAGCGCACGCAGGCGGUCUGUCAAGUCGGAUGUGAAAUCCCCGGG